CCUCCCCUGAUGUCAGUGUGACAGACCCCACAGACCCACCAUCCUCCCAUGGUGUCAGUGUGACAGGUACAACAGGCCCGUUAUCCUCCCCUGGUGUUGGUGUGACAGACCCCACAGACCCGUUAUCCUCCCCUGGUGUCGGUGUGACAGACCCCACAGACCCCGUUAUCCUCCCCUGGUGUCAGUGUGACAGACCCCACAGACCCAACAUCCUCCCCUGGUGUCAGUGUGACAGACCCCACAGACCCACCAUCCUCCCCUGGUGUCAGUGUGACAGGUACAACAGACCCGUUAUCCUCCCCUGGUGUUGGUGUGACCUGUCCCACAGACCCACCAUCCUUCCC
ensembl:lncRNA